GUAACGUGGGUGACGGCCGGUUAGCACUCCCCUGCAGAAGGAUGGAAGAGGUCCUAGUGACCUUUACAACACAUAUCUGGUUAAGGCACUGACGACCUUCUUCGUGGCACCUGACCAGAGUUUUCC